AUGGAUAUCCAUACAUUUCACGAAAAUUCAUUUCCAAAAAGAAAAACUUUAAUAAUUAAAAAUAAACUUGCUCCGAAACUCAUAACUUCAAACAUUCAAGACAAAGACGCACAAUUAAAAUUACAAGCAACGCCAAUUUGUGCUACUUUUCAUACAAGUCAAAAGUUCUUAAAUCAAGUCAGAUCUUCAAGGUGAAAGCAGACUCGGGGAAAUCUAAUCCUUAUAUAAAGCUCAUACUGGCAUUAGCAUUAAAGUGUGAAUCUUGCUAAAGCUGGAGGAGGAGAAAUGUGUAGGAAUGUGUAGGUAUAAGCUCAAAGUGUGAGGAGCUGUGUAUUAAACUCUAGUCACCUUUUGAGUUCUUCUCAGCACAGAGAGUUCUUUUAAAGUUCAAUCAAUGGAUCUGUAAGGUCCGCCCACUGGUCCAAAGACGGUAGCCAAUGAUCCGGUAGAAGGAUUCUUGCGUGUUGCUGUCUUUCCUUUCAUAUAACGCAAUGAUAUCAGAUUAAAUACAUUUUUCUUACAUGUUUACCUCUUUUAUUCAUCUGACUCCAAAAAUGAAAAGGGUUAGAAGAGAUGUUUGAUAUAUAUUAAAUUUAGGUGUAUGUUUGACUAUCCUGUUUUACUUUCACAUUUAUUUUACUCGUUCAUUAGGAAUCUAUGUCGCUCAGGGUGCCCCACGACGGCCGUUCUUGCGUGUGCCCCACGAUCACAAACUCGCCAGUCUCAACAGCAGUCAGAGGUUAUGACUAAUACUAUUUAAUAGGUUACCCAUACUUACCAUACUUUAAAUAGUAUUUCCGUUUUGUCCCCCUCAGCUACCCAUGUACAACUUAGUUAAAGCUCAAAACAAUAAUCAGCGGUUCUGCUAGCACUGUCUGUCUAGUCCCCCCCCGACAGUCAUAUAACUCGUACAACUUGAUCAAAGCUCCAACAAUAAUCAGUGGUUUAUGCUAGCACUACCUGUCUAGCCCCCGACAAUUAUAUAACUCCGUACAACUUAAUUAAAGCUGAGACAAUAACCAGCGGUUAUGGCCAGUACUUCUAUUAGCC
ensembl:lncRNA